GCUCGUCCAGCCGCCGAACUCAGGGAGGAGAAACCCAACGGGAUGCCCGCAGCCGGCCUCACCUCCCCGGCGGCCUCCUCCUCCUCGUGUUUCCCAAAAAGCUUCGCGGCCGGAGCCCGCAGCCGCUCGCCCAUUGCCACCGACAGCCUCAACCCGGAGGAUUUUCGCCCCGCGGGGUUUCUUCAGAGCCAGGAGGCGGCGGCGAGGAAAUGCUGCGUGCGGUCGGCCUCGGCGCGGAGGCUUCUCGCCGCUGCCAUGCUGCGUCGCCGGAGGUUCGCAGCGGCGCGGGGCGAAGCCGCCCUCCCGCGAUCCGCCCCGGGGUGUUCCCAUUAUCCCGGCGCCACCUUCCCCGGGUGGGAAGAGCAGCGUUUGGCAUCCUCAUCCUGCCCCCAGACAACUUUUAAGCACGUGUUUUACUAAAUCGUCGCGUUUCCAGGCUUUGCCCUCUGAUGGAAAUGCAGCCGGUUCACCAAAUUCCUCCUUUCUGCUUCGGUGCAAGAACACGCGUUUUUAGCACCUUCUCUCUCGUUUUUUUCCCUCUUUUUUUCCCUCCGUAACCUCAUAAAUGCAUCGAAAAAAUAAAACGCAGCCGUGAAGCGGAGGAAAGGGCACAAUCGGAGUGGGCAGGAGGCGGCUGCGCGCGUCGUGGCCCCGUCUGCAGCUGGGAGAUUGGGGCUCUCCUCCCUCCCCGGCUGAUAAAAGCUGGCGGGGACAGAGACGGGACUGAGCUUUCGCUGAGCCUCUGCCAGAGAAACGGGGGGGAAAAAACCCUAACGGGGGAAAAACCAAGCGAGGGGAAACAAGUGGGGGGAAAAAGCAGCCGGAGGAACCCCAAAACAGCGCUGGAAACGGCCAAGAAUAAACCAAAAAGUUUUGAGAGAGGAGAAAAUCCCAGCGCUGCAAGGAAGAGAGGACACGGUGGGCGCGAUGGCUUUCUGCCUCAAACCCCGGCCGUGCACGUGGGACUUGGCUGUGGACUACAACGCAGCGAAACAGUUUCAAGUGGAUGUGACCCUGGAUCCGACCACGGCCGGCCCCGAGGUGAUCCUCUCCGAGGACCUCAAGGAGGCCACCUGGGGCAGACCGGGGCGCCGGUGGCCAGCGGGCCCGGGCCGUUUCGACACGGAUCCGUGCAUGUUGGGCAGCCAGGGCUUCACCUCGGGCCGCCACUACUGGGAGGUGGAGGCGAGCGGGCGCUUCUGGACCGUGGGGGUGGCUCGGGAAUCGGUGCGGAGGAAAGGCCGGAUCCUCUUCAAACCCAACGCCGAGAUCUGGGGCUUGCAGAAGUACGACGAGCUCUGCGUGGCCCUCACGGCUCCCUCCAACACCUCCGUCCCGCUCCACGGCGGGGAGAUCGGGGUCUACUUGGACUACGAGGUGGGGCAGGUCUCGUUUUACGCCCUCGGCACCCGCCGGCGCGUCUUCACCUUCCGCGUGGCCUCCUUCAGCGGCGAGAGGGUCUUCCCCUACUUCUGCGUGCUGCUCUCCACCAUCAAGCUGCCCCCCAGGGGCUGACGGGGCGGCGACGGGGUCCCCCCGAAACCGUUUCGGUGCUUCCAGGAGAAAUGGAAACGCUCCUCAACGCACCUCACCUCAUUUUAUUAUUAUUUUUAUUUUUUUCUUCAGGAUUUGGGGUGAUUUCCAUCACCCGUAGCUUACGGGUCUGCCUCACCUCAUUUUAUUAUUAUUUUUUUAUUUUUUUCUUCAGGAUUUGGGGUUAUUUCCAUCACCCGUAGCCCAUGGGUCUGUCUCACCUCGUAAAAUAAUAAUAAUAAUGAUAAUAAUUUCUUCAGGAUUUGGGGUGAUUUCCAUCACCCGUAGCUCACGGGUCUGCCUCACCUCAUUUUAUUUUUAUUUUUUUUAUUUUUUUCUUCAGGAUUUGGGGUGAUUUCCAUCACCUGUAGCUCACGGGUCUGCCUCACCUCGUAAAAUAAUAAUAAUAAUGAUAAUAAUUUCUUCAGGAUUUGGGGUGAUUUCCAUCGCCCAUAGCUCAUGAGUCUGCCUCACCUCAUUUUAUUAUUAUUUUUUUCUUCUUCUUCAGGAUUUGGGGUUAUUUCCAUCACCCAUAGCCCAUGGGUCUGUCUCACCUCGUAAAAUAAUAAUAAUAAUAAUGAUAAUAAUUUCUUCAAGAUUUGGGGUGAUUUCCAUCACCCAUAGCUCAUGAGUCUCCCUCACUUCAUUUUAUUAUUGUUAUCAAUAUUAUUAUUAUUAUUUUUUCAGGAUUUGGGGUGAUUUCCAUUGCCUGUAGCUCAUGGGUCUGCUAGAUUUUUAUUUUUAUUUUAUUUUUAUUUUUAUUUUUAUUUUAUUUUUAUUUUAUUUUUAUUUAAUUUAAUUUAAUUUUAUUUUUAUUUUAUUUUUAUUUUAUUUUUAUUUUUAUUGUUUUUAUUUUUAUUGUUUUUAUUUUUCUUCAGGAUUUGGGGUGAUUUCCACCACCCCGUAGCUCGUGGGUCUGCCUUACCUCAUUUUAUUAUUAUUGCUAUUAUUAUUAUUUCUUCAGGAUUUGGGGACAUUUCCACCACGUGUAGCUUGUGGGUCUGCCUCACCUCCUUUUAUGAUUAUGACUAUUAUUUAUUAAUAAUAAUUUUCUUCAGGAUUUGGAGUGAUUUCCACCGCUCGUGGGUCUGCCUCGGGUCCGAUGUCUCUGUUACGGGUUAAAUCUGGGAGGUUUUGGGUCUCGUGGCGGUUUGAGCCGGAACCCCCAGUCUCAGCUGAAAGUUGCGGGUUUUAGGGUUAUUAAAAGCGUGUUAAUAGUUUUACCGAGCUGGUGUUGAGCUGAAAUCUUUGUUUUUCCCCCCAAACCCAUGCUGAAUUCCACACCUAAUUAAACUCCUGAAUUUCAGCAGAACUCUAAUACUAUUGUCCUAAUUUCAGCAGAAUUCGCUUAAAUACCACCUGCAGCUCCCUGAUAACAGAAUUGAGUUUUAAUUGAUAUUGUUUAAAAUCUUUUUUUUUUCACAGGAAUUUGCCCCUCUCCUCCCUUUCACUGUUUUUCCCACUGUAAUUUUUUUUUUUUUGAGCAAUUAAUGUGCGAAUAUCACUGGGUUCAGACCCAAAUUAACAGGUUUUAUUGUUAGAAGGAGGAAGUGUGUGGGCGGAAUACGUUUGGGUUGUGAUUUAACGGGAAAAAAAUAAAUAAAUAAAAUAAAAGCUCCA
ensembl:lncRNA